UUUCUACUCCCUCCGUCCGAAAAUACUUGUCAUCAAAAUGGAUAAAAAGAGAUGUAUCUAAAACUAAAAUACGUCUAGAUACAUUUCCUUUUAUCCGUUUUGAUGACAAGUAUUUCCGGAUGGAGGGAGUAUUUG
rnacentral:pre_miRNA from 1 species